AAAAAGAGGGGCGGGCGGGCGCGACAAGUUGUCACUGCCGCUGUCACUGUCGCUGCCACCACCCUCCGCUAAUUAACAGCAGGACGCGGCACCUUAAUGGUCAGCACGUGGCAGCCUGGGGCACCUCGCAGGGGCAAACAGCCCUCCACCUCUCCCCAACACUGGCAUCCGGCACAGCCAUCGGAGGGUGCAGCAUCCCACCCGUGACGUCACAGAAUCCCAGAAUCAUUCCGGAGGGAGAGGGACUUGCAGUGACCGCCCCGGAGCAGAGGGAGCCCGGCCAGCCCUGGUGUCCCCCGCCUGUGCAGUGCCAGAAGGAGCAGGUGGUGGCAGAAGGACACAUCCAGCUCGUUUGUAACAGAACCCGUCUUUA